rnacentral:rRNA from 1 species
UACGGAGGGGGCUAGCGUUGUUCGGAAUUACUGGGCGUAAAGCGCACGUAGGCGGACCAUCAAGUCAGAGGUGAAAUCCCGGAGCUCAACUCCGGAACUGCCUUUGAAACUGCUGGUCUGGAGAUCGAGAGAGGUGAGUGGAAUUCCGAGUGUAGAGGUGAAAUUCGUAGAUAUUCGGAGGAACACCAGUGGCGAAGGCGGCUCACUGGCUCGAUACUGACGCUGAGGUGCGAAAGCGUGGGGAGCAAACAGG